CACUAUCGCUGUACAGUCAGUCGUAGUAACGAAUAACGACAUUGUAACUCGAUUUUUUUUCAUACAAUUCGAUACUAGGCGCGUUUUUAUUCGGUAUCUCGCCCGUGUGAAAACGACAGCAAUAUCCCUAAAUCAUAUUAUCAUUUAUAGGUACCGUCUUUGAUCGGUUUAAGUCACUAUUACGUUUCCGUACGUAUCUAUCUAUAUGUAUAUAUAUAUAUA